GGAAUAUUGGACAAUGGGCGAAAGCCUGAUCCAGCCAUGCCGCGUGUGUGAAGAAGGUCUUCGGAUUGUAAAGCACUUUAAGUUGGGAGGAAGGGCAGUUACCUAAUACGUGAUUGUUUUGACGUUACCGACAGAAUAAGCACCGGCUAACUCUGUGCCAGCAGCCGCGGUAAUACAGAGGGUGCAAGCGUUAAUCGGAAUUACUGGGCGUAAAGCGCGCGUAGGUGGUUUGUUAAGUUGGAUGUGAAAUCCCCGGGCUCAACCUGGGAACUGCAUUCAAAACUGACUGACUAGAGUAUGGUAGAGGGUGGUGGAAUUUCCUGUGUAGCGGUGAAAUGCGUAGAUAUAGGAAGGAACACCAGUGGCGAAGGCGACCACCUGGACUAAUACUGACACUGAGGUGCGAAAGCGUGGGGAGCAAACAGGAUUAGAUACCCUUG
rnacentral:rRNA from 1 species